rnacentral:lncRNA from 1 species
GUUUCAGUUGAGGCUUCAUGUCCAACUGCAGUGACACUGUUCACUCAAGACCACUGGUGACUCCCCAGGGUUCAGAUGCUGUGACUCAUUCCAGUCCUGGUUCACCCCAUUCUUUCUGCACUAUUUGACAGUGCCGCCCUUCUCGUCCUCCUGAGACUGUAUCCUAGCUCUCUCAUCUUAGGUGAAAAUGUUCCCCUUGCCUCCCUAUACCAGUCUCCCAAAGUUCACUCAUAUUUCAAAUCUCAUUUCAGACUUCUCAUGCAUGAAACUCUUAUGUUUUAGAAUUAACCUAUACUCAUAUUAACAG